ACACGGGCACAAAUCUCCUGGGGGGGACAGCAGCAGGGGGAAUAUUGUACACUGUGGGCCAACACUGAUGCUACCACACAUCGCGUGAGUGAUGAAGACCCUAGAGUGGUAAAGAUCUUUUUUCGCGGGAAGAUAAUAAUCGGUGCAGCAAGAAUAAGACGCCCCGCUAAAUUCGUGCCAGCAGCACGCGGUAAUAUAAAGGGGGCUAGAGUUGUUCUGAAUCACUGGGGGUAAAGAGUGCGUAGGAGGGGUAUAUAUGUCUGGGGUGAGAUCUUGGAGCUCUCAUCCAGAGCUGCGCCUGAUAUUGAGGAUCUCGAGUUUGGGAGAGAUGAGAGGAGAACGAGAGUAGAGAUGAAAUUCGUAGAUAUAUUCAAGAACACCAGUGGCGAGAAGGCUCUCUGGCCUCAUACUGACGCUGAGACACGAGAGAGUGGGGAGCACACACGAUUAGAUAUCCCGGUAGUGCACGCCGUAAACGAUGAAUACCAUCCGUUAGUGGGUUUACUCCCUAGUGGGGCACAUAACGCUCUAAGCAUUUCCCGCGGGGAGAACGGUCUCAAGAUUAAAACUCAAAGGAAAAUUCGGGGGCCCGCACAAGAGGUGGAGCACAUGGUUUAAUUUUAGGCAACGCGCAGAGCCCUUCCACACCUUGACACGUCCCGGGCCGGUUGCAGAGAUGUGUCUUUUUCUUUGGAGCCUGGAACACAGGUGCUGCAUGGCUGUCGUCAGCUCGUGUCGUGAGAUGUUGGGUUAAGUCCCGCAACGAGCGCAACCCCCGUCCUUAGUUGCUACCAUUUAGUUGAGCACUCUAAGGAGACUGCCGGUGAUAAGCCGAGAGGAAGGUGGGGAUGACGUCAAGUCCUCAUGGCCCUUACGGGCUGGGCUACACACGUGCUACAAUGGCGGUGACAAUGGGAAGCUAAGGGGCGACCCUUAGCAAAUCUCAAAAAGCCGUCUCAGUUCGGAUUGGGCUCUGCAACUCGAGCGCAUGAAGUUGGAAUCGCUAGUAAUCGUGGAUCAGCACGCCACGGUGAAUACGUUCCCGGGCCUUGUACACACCGCCCGUCACACCAUGGGAGUUGGUUUUACCUGAAGAGCGGUGCGCUAACCCGCAAGGGAGGCAGCCAACCACGGUAGUC
rnacentral:rRNA from 1 species